rnacentral:rRNA from 1 species
ACUAACUAGGAUUCCCUUAGUAGCUGCGAGCGAACAGGGAAGAGCCCAGCACCGAAUCCCGCGGUCGGAAACGGCCGCUGGGACAUGUGGUGUUUAGGAGGAUCCGUAUUCUCGUGGCUGCACGUCGUGUCCAAGUCUUUCUUGAACGGGGCCAUUUACCCAUAGAGGGUGCCAGGCCCGUAGGACCGUCGUUGGUUGCGAGAGGAUCUCUCCUUCGAGUCGGGUUGCUUGAGAGUGCAGCCCUAAGCAGGUGGUAAACUCCAUCUAAGGCUAAAUAUGACCACGAGACCGAUAGCGAACAAGUACCGUGAGGGAAAGUUGAAAAGAACUUUGAAGAGAGAGUUCAAUAGUACGUGAAACCGUUCAGGGGUAAACCUGAGAAGCCCGAAAGUUCGAACGGAGAGAUUCAUCGUGCUCGUUGCGUGGCGGCUGAUGGGUUGCGAGACGUGCGGUGCUUCGGUGCCGUGCGCUCCGCUCGUCGGCAUAUACAUGUACGAGUGCGUGCACUUCUCUCCUUGUAGGACGUCGCGACUCGUUGGGUGCCGACCUAAGGCCCGGUGUGGAGCCCGCGUUGAUCAUCUAGGGACUCUUCACGGACUACCGGUGUCCCGGUCGGCUCGCUCGACGGUAGACUAAAGGCGCGGGGCCGCGAUUCGUUCGCGUCUGGCCCGUCGCAAGUUCGUGCGGUUCUUACUCUGACCUCGGACCUAGUGCCGAAUUGGAGCCCGCCGGACUGUUAGCGGCGGUGUUCUCAGAUAGACUCCGAUACACGCCCGUCUGCGACGCUAUUGUUUGGGCAAUUUCAGGGCCCGUCUUGAAACACGGACCAAGGAGUCUAGCAUGUGCGCAAGUCAUUGGGACUAGCGAAACCUAAAGGCGAAAUGAAAGUGAACGUGAGUCCGCUUUGCGGCGGGCUCACUUAGGGAGGAUGGGUCUGUUCUCGGACAGGCCCCGCACUCCCGGGGCGUCUCGUGCUCAUUGCGAGCUGAGGCGCACCUAGAGCGUACAUGCUGGGACCCGAAAGAUGGUGAACUAUGCCUGGUCAGGACGAAGUCAGGGGAAACCCUGAUGGAGGUCCGUAGCGAUUCUGACGUGCAAAUCGAUCGUCGGAACUGGGUAUAGGGGCGAAAGACCAAUCGAACCAUCUAGUAGCUGGUUCCCUCCGAAGUUUCCCUCAGGAUAGCUGGCACUCAUCUAGUGAGUUUCAUCCGGUAAAGCGAAUGAUUAGAGGCAUUGGGGUCGAAACGACCUCAACCUAUUCUCAAACUUUAAAUGGGUGAGAUCUCCGGCUUGCUUGAAUUAGUGAAGCCGCGAGAUAUCUAUAUGAUAAUAGAAUCAGAG